GCGGCUGUCCUCCCUCGCUUUUGGAGCUCCGACCUCAGCUUCGCCUGCGAGCUGGGUUGUGUAAAGGCUGGUCAUUUUGGGGCGCUUAGGGGUGGGUGCCGGGGGGCGCGCUUUCCCUCGUGAAGGUCGCUCCAGGAGUCAUGCGUACAUUCGUUCAUUUUGCUCUGGACGCACUGAUGUUCCCGGCUCGCCGCCGUGCCGCAGUCACGAGGCUCUCCGAACGCCUUUCACUGUGUUUCUGUUUACAUUCGCGUCUGCAAGACCCGGCGGCGCGACCGAGGCCCGAACAGAUGGAGAUGGGCUGCCAUGUUGUGAGCUGCCCCAUGGGGAAGAGGCUCACAUGUGAGGAACUGAGGGAGGCCUCCAGAAAACAGCCAGUGAAGAACUGAGACCCUCAGUCCAAUAGCCUAUGAGGAACUGAAUCCUGCUGACAACCAUAUGAAUGAGCUUGGAAGCAGAUCCUUCCCCAGUGAAGCCUUCAUGUGAGACUGCAGCCCACUUGACACUUUGAUUUGUAGCUUGUGACAGACCCCAAGCCAGAAGAGUCAGCAGCCCCAGAGAUGUGGUCUGGAUCACACCUUCUUCCCUACCUCCUCCUCUGCUGAGCCCAAGCCCAAGUCACUCACAUCAGCAUGGUUCAUCCUCCCUCCCCUCACAGAAAUCACUCCUUAGAAUCUUCCAGGCCAGGGACAAUCAUUCCCAAAGGAUCACUGCUCCAUCGACUUAUUACUCCUAUGCAGUCAGCAACUCCAUAGACCCUCGUGUCCCUUGGGCCUGCGCUGAGGGCCUCAGCUGUGGACCCCUGCUUUACUGGAUGCUAUAAGCAAGUUCUUGGUAAUGACAUCUCAUGGUCAUUCCUGGAUGUUUGGGGGCAUGUGACUCUCAUAUUGUUUAAUUUUUCCUAGCUCUAAAUCUUGCCCUUUUAGCUCCACUGUAGCCUCCUUCACAAGGCUGGAGUGUGUCUGAAGUUUCUCUGCAUGGCCCAGGCCCAGCAGUGCUAAGCUCCUAGGGAACUCAGUGCAGACUCUUUUUGGUGUUCUCAGGACUUGUU
rnacentral:lncRNA from 1 species